GCUUUGAAGAAGUGCCUUAACCUUUGGAAGAAACCCUUCAUGCUCACCAAAUGUCCAUGUGCUCUAUUUUACCCCAGAUUCAUUUGGAACUAAAUUGGAGCCUUUGGAUUGAAUUAAAAGAGGAAGUAUUGUAGUUAACUCCAAGGUGAAGAAUAAAAGAGCAAAAUGAAUUCCCCCACAUUUUCUCGGUCUUCUGCUGUAAGCCUCAAGUUAAAAUGAGUAUAUGUGAGAGCAUUUGGGGUUUGGCAUGUGCAUUCACCAAGUGUGUGAAGAAUUUAAUGACCUAUGAGACAGACCUGAUUAUGCUCACUAUGAGUGCUGAUACUCAAGUCAAGACUGAGCAGAGGGGAAUGCAGAAGGAAAACAUGUCUCCAAGGCAGCUGAACAAUGGACUGUAAAGAUGAGAGGUAAAUACAUGUAUGCAUUUUGAUUGAUUGAAAGGCUUGUGGGUGGAAUGUUGGAGGGUGGGAGGACAGGUGAGGAUAUAUUAAAACUUGAGAUCUGAUCAACUAACCUAGAAGAACCCUCUUGUUCAGCACUAUGGUAACUUCCUGAUAAUCUUCCAAGUUCACUCUAUACAUCCUGACAAUUAGCUAUUGAUUUCUAAGACUUCAAAAGACUAACUGAACCUGAGUAAUUCUCACCUAGCCAUAAAUACCUUUUGCUUUUAAUGAUAACAUAGGUCCAUUACCAAGACUGUACUGUGACUGCUGAAGAGUGUUUGUUAUACAUCAUCUAAGUUGGCUCCACAAUAACCCUUUAAAGUAAAUAUUCUUAUCCUCAUAAUACAGCUGUGGCCAGUCAGAGACUCUAGGAUGCCACCACCACCCAUGUUCAGAUCAAGAAUUGGGGUAGGGUCUUUGUACUCUUGUCUUCCUCAUUCUGUAAUACUGUUUCUGAAAUU
rnacentral:lncRNA from 1 species